UCUCCCUUCCUUCCUUCUUAAUAUGUUUUUGGCCUUUUCUUUAUAUAUGUGGCCUAUCAAUAUCAUGUGUUUGGAAAAGCAUAAACUUAAGGCAUCACCUUUACAGAAAAUAUCUUCCAUGGAAACAUCUAAAGGCAAAAAUCCUUCAAAUUCAAAUUUAUCCAAUCAUUUCUUCUGCUUACUACCAUCCUAAAUCAUUUUUCUUUAGUAAGAUCUAUUAGUGUGAAGCUAUUAAGCUAUUAAUGUAAGUAUCAUAUUAAUGUAUUAAGAUAUUAAGUGAGGAAGUAAAGUUGCAUUCAUAGGCCUUGAACUUUUCCACAUCUCGAUUUUUACCCAUCAUCUCUGCAUAUUUUCCUAAGGCAGCCUUCAAAUGGUGAUGUUUCCUGUCAUCCAGAGUUCAGAAGUGCCUUCUCUUCAACCUUUCUGUGGAAUUCUAAACCACGUGAUAAAGGAGCUGGUGGUGGGAAGUAAGGGAAGGAGGGGAUGAAGAGGAAUGGGCAGAAGUUUUUGGAGAGGAAUAACCCACUGAGAUUGCCAGGGAAGAUUCAUUUUGACAUUAUUUUCAUGUAUUCAAUGCAAUCAAAAAAGAAUCCACAGCUAACCAUGGGUGUCCAAUCUUUUGCCUUCCCUGGACCACAUUGGAAGAAUUGUCUUCGACCACACAUAAAAUACACUAACACUAACAAUAGCUAAUGAGCUUUAAAAAAAUCACAGAA
rnacentral:antisense_RNA from 1 species